GAUGAACGCUGGCGGCGUGCCUAACACAUGCAAGUCGAACGGACUAAACUGAAACAUAGUGAUGUUUAGUUAGUGGCGGACGGGUGAGUAACGCGUGGGUAACCUGCCUCACACUGGGGGAUAACAGUUAGAAAUGACUGCUAAUACCGCAUAAGCGCACAGCUUCGCAUGAAGCGGUGUGAAAAAACUCCGGUGGUGUGAGAUGGACCCGCGUCUGAUUAGCUAGUUGGUAGGGUAACGGCCGUACCAAGGCGACGAUCAGUAGCCGGCCUGAGAGGGUGACCGGCCACAUUGGACUGAGAUACGGCCCAGACUCCUACGGGAGCAGCAGCUAAGAANAUUCCGCAAUGGGGGAAACCCUGACGAGCGACG
rnacentral:rRNA from 1 species